AUUGAACGCUGGCGGCAUGCCUUACACAUGCAAGUCGAACGGCAGCACGGGAGCAAUCCUGGUGGCGAGUGGCGAACGGGUGAGUAAUAUAUCGGAACGUGCCCAGUCGUGGGGGAUAACGCAGCGAAAGCUGUGCUAAUACCGCAUACGAUCUACGGAUGAAAGCGGGGGAUCGCAAGACCUCGCGCGAUUGGAGCGGCCGAUAUCAGAUUAGCUAGUUGGUGAGGUAAAGGCUCACCAAGGCGACGAUCUGUAGCUGGUCUGAGAGGACGACCAGCCACACUGGAACUGAGACACGGUCCAGACUCCUACGGGAGGCAGCAGUGGGGAAUUUUGGACAAUGGGCGCAAGCCUGAUCCAGCAAUGCCGCGUGCAGGAUGAGGGCCUUCGGGUUGUAAACUGCUUUUGUACGGAACGAAACGGCGAGCUCUAAUACAGUUUGCUAAUGACGGUACCGUAAGAAUAAGCACCGGCUAACUACGUGCCAGCAGCCGCAGUAACAC
rnacentral:rRNA from 1 species